GCUUAGACCUAAGGUGUUUAGUGAUAAAUUGCUCACAUCGUCUGACAGGUAACAGCGUAGAAGACAGGUUUGUAUUUGCAUUUCCUCACGUAGUUUUGUCUAAGACGUUUUACAGCUAAAGCAGGCAAACUUGUAGAAUAACAGCUCAGAAUCCUUGUAGGAGUUUGAUGAAAUAGCCACAUUGCCCCCUUGCUUUAUUCUCUGAAUUCCAAAGUUGAGGUAACUGCAAAAGGUUUUUUUAAACAAUGCUUCUUGAUUGAUUAAUUAUAAUGAAAAGUUUUAGGAUUUAAGAUUUAAUUAGAUUUUGAUGUAGACCUUUAUUUUGUCACUGGUAUCCAAAGUAUUGUUAUCACUUUAAAUCGUGCAAAGUGAGAACUUCAGGCUGUUUAACACUCCCAAAUACUAGCCUGCGUUUCAUCGUCACUGUAAUCCCUAGAAGAGAAACCAGAUUUUUUUCAUGCAUCAGCAGAAAGACAGAGAACUACCAUUUCUGUUCCUUUGCCCUACUCUGGUUGUGAACCCCUUAGAAAUGCAGAAAAACUGUUUCAGAUAUGCUAGUAACUAUGAAGUAAAACAUUACUAGUAAUGCCAGCAAAGUCUCUUUGAUCAUUGCUUUAAAAUUAUUCAUGUUUUGUAGAAGCUUUGUGAUUCCGAAAUCUAUUUUUUUCUUUCCUCAAAGCAGCAGAGUCGCUAAGUAAUGAUCUUAGAACUGACACACACUGGUAAACCUGGUUUGCGCUGGUCCGACCUUCCACUCCUCAGCAGUUGGUUUGGGGCCUCUUGCAAAUAAACCCGGUUGGGAGAGCAGGUUAAACCCGGUUUGGAGUGCAGGUCAAACCCGGUUGGGAGAGCAGGUCAAACCCGGUUUGGAGUGCAGGUUAAUCCCGGUUGGGAGAGCAGGUGAAACCCAUUUGGAGAGCAGGUCAAACCCGGUUGGGAGAGCAGGUGAAACCCAGUUUGGCCAGCAGGUAUCUCCGUCCCUGUUGUCACAGGUCAUGACUCUCCUCAUGUUGAUGAAGGGCACAAAGAUGCUGCAAAUAUUUUUUCCCCUUUGCAAGUGCCCAGAAAAGAAUUGGAAGAUGUGUGGCUGGAGGGACCAGAAGACACAAGAACAGCAUUCUACUGCCUCUCAUGCUUUUUGUUUUUAAAAUCUUUUGCAAGGAAGGAAAUUAAUUUAAUGGGGUGGAUGUGGGAGAACCCUCAUGCCCUCCUCAGGAUUUAUGUGAUAUGCAUGGGGAAAGUAUUUAAGUAAAUAGAAAAAUGCUAGAGAUAGAAAAUAAUAAUUUUAGAUU